GAGGCUGCUUAGUUUCUUCAUUCUGCUGUCUGACUAACCCAACAACUAAAGACAUGCUGCUUUACCUCAUUUUACUUUUCUCUCAUAUCAGAGAGUGUAAAGGAGAAGACAAAGUGAUCCAGGAACAAGGAGAUGUCAUUGCUGCUGAAGGAGACACAGUUACACUUGGAUGUAGAUAUGAAACAACUGCUUCAUAUUCAUAUUUGUUCUGGUACAAACAAGAACUAAAUGACUUUCCAAAGUAUGUUUUACAGCGUGGAACUACUGGAACAGCAGAUAACGCUCAGGAGUUCCCAAAGGACAGAUUUGAUGCUGAGCUCAACAAGAAAUCAGUUCCUCUGAAGAUCCAGAAGCUUCAGCUGUCUGACUCUGCUGUGUACUACUGUGCUCUGCAGCCCACAGUGACAGGAAACACCAAAACUCUGUACAAAAACCUUUGGAGCAAAGACAACAGAAUACUCCACAACAUCCACUAGAGGGAGC